rnacentral:rRNA from 1 species
GAUGAACGCUGGCGGCGUGCCUAAUACAUGCAAGUCGAGCGAACAGAUGAGGAGCUUGCUCCUCUGACGUUAGCGGCGGACGGGUGAGUAACACGUGGAUAACCUACCUAUAAGACUGGGAUAACUUCGGGAAACCGGAGCUAAUACCGGAUAAUAUAUUGAACCGCAUGGUUCAAUAGUGAAAGACGGUUUUGCUGUCACUUAUAGAUGGAUCCGCGCCGCAUUAGCUAGUUGGUAAGGUAACGGCUUACCAAGGCAACGAUGCGUAGCCGACCUGAGAGGGUGAUCGGCCACAUGGGAACUGAGACACGGUCCAGACUCCUACGGGAGGCAGCAGUAGGGAAUCUUCCGCAAUGGGCGAAAGCUUGACGGAGCAACGCCGCGUGAGUGAUGAAGGUCUUCGGAUCGUAAAACUCUGUUAUUAGGGAAGAACAAAUGUGUAAGUAACUAUGCACGUCUUGACGGUACCUAAUCAGAAAGCCACGGCUAACUACGUG